UACAGAGGCCUCGAGCGUUAGGCGGAAUCACUGGGCUUAAAGCGUGUGUAGGCGGACUUCUAAGUACCUUGUGAAAUCCCACGGCUCACCCGUGGAACUGCUCGGUAUACUGGUUGUCUUGAGCCUUCUAGGGGCGAGUGGAACAAAUGGUGGAGCGGGUGAAAUGCGUAGAUAUCAUUUGGAACGCCAAUGGUGAAAACAACUCGCUGGGGAAGUGCUGACGCUGAGACACGAAAGCCAGGGGAGCGAACGGG
rnacentral:rRNA from 1 species